CAAGCUUUUAUAUUUCCAUUUGGGUUUCUACUGCUUCAAAAAACAGCUCAAGCGUUUAAAGAGGAGACGUUAUUUGGACAUAAAUUAAUGUUUGCUGGUUUCUGGAAAGCGAACGGCUUCAAAAAGCUCCAGAGUUUAUCUGCCUGGAAACGGACGAUAAAUGAGAUCCAGAAAGGCCUCUGGAUGAUUUACCCUCCUUAACUCAGUUACAGAGAUUGAUGUUCUUUCUUGACCACCAUGUUGCAUCAUGAAGACUAUCUGACUUUCCAGCACACAAAGAAAACCCAAAGUUUUCAAAGAAGUUGCUGUUUUUGUUGAUCCAACACAGCACGGGUUAACGACAUGAGCGUCGACGGAGAUGAGAGGCAGAACAGCAGCAGCAGCAGGAGGAGGAGGAGUAAUAAACUGGAUUUUAUGUCAGCUGUCAGCUGAAUGUUGAUGAAAACCAGACAUGGCAGCUUCUCUCCCUCCUCGUUAUGUAAACCUGACGGCCUCUGGUAGAAUUACAUAGCGUCCAGCCAUGCAUGUUUGGAGUUAAAUUCCUGCCCAAACAUUGCAAACAAAUAAAAAAAAUGUCUGGUGUGUGCUUCAAAAAAGUCAGAACUCUGAUUUUUAUAUUCAGAAUGCCGAGAAAAAGAAACAAAAUUAUGAGUUCAAGGUCAAAAUUAUUUUGUUAGAGUCAAAACUGUUAGUUGAUGAGAAAAAAAGUCAGAUUUCUGAGAUUCCUGAGUUUAAAGUUCGAAUUCUGUGGGAAAAAAGGAAGAAAUUUAAAGUUCUGAGAAAAAUUCUGAUUUUUGAGAAAAACAUAAAAAAUUCAAAGAAAAAAGUAAAAAUUCUGACAAGCCAAAAUUUGGGGAAAUUAUAUUGAUAUUAUAUUUUUAAAUGAAUCCCAUUUAUUAUAACAUUGACAGUCCUAUUCCCUUGUACCCUGAUGUCCAGAUCCGUGGUUCCCAGCCCCGUCCUCCAGGCUCACUGCCCUGCAGGAUUUUGGUAUUUCCUUGAUUCAGUCCAGCUGAUUUCAGUUGAUCAAUGAUUAACAGGCGUUUGUUGAAGUGCAGUCAGUUGAAUCAGGCACAUUAAAGCAGGACGGUGCUGCUGGCUCAGCUAGAGCCAAACGGCGUGGCGUCUGUUACAGGAAACGAUUCCUGCUGAAGAGCAACAGAGAGCCUUGAGGACCGGGGCUGGAAAACACAAAACAGAGAGGAAGAGGAGGUUUCAUCUCUGAUUAACUUCUUUCCUGGCCUCGUCCUGAAUGGAGCUUAUCACCAUACACACAAUCCUCUGCGAUUUCUGACUUUAAAGUCACAA